UACGGGGGGUGCGAGCGUUGUCCGGAAUCACUGGGCGUAAAGGGUGCGUAGGCGGGUCUUUAAGUCAGGGGUGAAAUCCUGGAGCUCAACUCCAGAACUGCCUUUGAUACUGAAGAUCUUGAGUCCGGGAGAGGUGAGUGGAACUGCGAGUGUAGAGGUGAAAUUCGUAGAUAUUCGCAAGAACACCAGUGGCGAAGGCGGCUCACUGGCCCGGUACUGACGCUGAGGCACGAAAGCGUGGGGAGCAAACAGG
rnacentral:rRNA from 1 species